rnacentral:rRNA from 1 species
UACAGAGGUCUCAACCGUUGUUCGGAUUCAUUGGGCGUAAAGGGUGCGUAGGCGGUCGCGCAAGUCGGAUGUGAAAUCUUAGGGCUCAACCCUGAAACUGCAUUCGAUACUGCGUGGCUCGAGUACGGGAGAGGAGACUGGAAUUUACGGUGUAGCGGUGAAAUGCGUAGAUAUCGUAAGGAAGACCAGUGGCGAAGGCGAGUCUCUGGACAGUUACUGACGCUGAGGCACGAAGGCCAGGGGAGCAAACGGG